ACCAUGGCUGAAGAACCUCAGGUUGAAUUGUUCGUGAAGGCUGGCAGUGAUGGGGCCAAGAUUGGGAACUGCCCCCUUCUCCCAGAGACUGUUCAUGGUACUCUGGCUCAAGGGAGUCACCUUCAACGUCACCACUGUUGACACCAAGAGGCGGACUGAGACAGUGCAGAAGCUGUGCCCAGGGGGGCAGCUCCCAUUCCUGCUGUAUGGCACCGAAGUGCACACAGACACCAACAAGAUUGAGGAGUUUCUGGAGGCGGUGCUGUGCCCUCCCAGGUACCCCAAGCUGGCAGCUCUGAACCCUGAAUCCAACACGGCGGGGCUGGACAUAUUUGCCAAAUUUUCUGCUUACAUCAAGAAUUCAAACCCGGCACUCAAUGAUAAUCUGGAGAAGAGGCUCCUGAAAGCCCUGAAAGUUUUAGACAAUUAUUUGACAUCCCCCCUCCCAGAAGAAGUGGAUGAGACCAGUGCUGAGGACGAGGGCAUCUCUCAGAGGAAGUUUCUGGAUGGCAAUGAGUUCACUCUGGCUGACUGCAACCUGUUGCCAAAGCUCCACAUAGUACAGGUGGUCUGUAAGAAGUACAGGGGAUUCUCCAUCCCCGAGGGGUUCCGCGGAGUGCAUCGGUACUUGCGCAAUGCCUAUGCUCGGGAAGAGUUUGCCUCCACCUGUCCAGAUGAUGAGGAGAUCGAGCUGGCUUACGAGCAAGUGGCCAAGGCCCUCAAAUAAGUGCCUCCUGAGACUCCGUCUCCCCUCUCCAUUUUCUCCACAAAGGCACCAACUGGUUUCCACGUGGUUAUCCAAGGGACACACUCCAAAAUGGCCAGUGGCCAGAGAAUCCUGGAGCACUUGUGCAGGGCUGGCUGGGGGGCUGAGGGGAAAAAAUGGGGAAUCUAGGUAAGAUUUUUAUUGUGGGGUGGUGCGGGUAGGACAAUGUAUUUCAGUAAUAAAAUACAGAAUGAAAAAAAAUGUUGUUUUACAU